rnacentral:hammerhead_ribozyme from 1 species
UUGGUCUGAUGAGUCCGUGAGGACGAAACGGAGUCUAGACUCCGUC